GUGGAGCAAGUUAAAAAUCACAUAUAUUUAAAUCUUGGAUUGUAACACCAGAUUGGGUGAGUUAAGCCCCUUUCCCACAGGAGAUUUUUUCAGCGACUACAGGUGACUAGGCUCCUUUCACA